CUGAGUUUUACAACUCUCCAAACCCAUGUGAACAUUACCUAUCUGUUGCCUUCGGUGGAUCGCCCGGGCCCUCGGGCCCGGAUCAGGAGCCAGCCGGUGGACCUACUAAACUCUUGUUAUUUCUUUAGUAUCUUCUGAAGUCAUAACUAAGCAAAUAAAUUUA
rnacentral:misc_RNA from 1 species